UGUCAGCCGCCGCGGUAAUACGUAGGUGGCAAGCGUUGUCCGGAAUUAUUGGGCGUAAAGGGCUCGCAGGCGGUUCCUUAAGUCUGAUGUGAAAGCCCCCGGCUCAACCGCGGAGGGUCAUUGGAAACUGGGAGACUUGAGUGCAGAAGAGGAAAGUGGAAUUCCAUGUGUAGCGGUGAAAUGCGUAGAGAUAUGGAGGAACACCAGUGGCGAAGGCGACUUUCUGGUCUGUAACUGACACUGAGGCGCGAAAGCGUGGGGAGCAAACAGGAUUAGAAACCCGCGUAGUCC
rnacentral:rRNA from 1 species